GUGUCGGCCUUCUGUGCAGCCCUCCUUCAGGGCUCCGGCCACCACAGUGACAGUUGGUGCUAGCGGUCUGCUCCCCUGCUAGGCCAUGAGCUCCACAUGGAGGUCUCUCUGUCUUCCCGUGCUUGUCUCUAAGGUCCCCCUGUAAGGACCCUCUAAGGUCACAUGACAAGCCCGCUCUCCGGCACCCACCUUGUGGGCCUCAUGCUUACAAAGUGAGUCCUAAACCUAGAGCUGCGAGAGAACAACCACAUCUGCGACUGAUGGAGCCCGGCGGCUCCGCUGAGCCGAGAAGCCAGGAAAGGCGGGUUUCCAAGACAGAACCACCUACGCCUGUCACUCUUUUUCCUGAAAAUGUCCCAUGUUCAAAUAUCUUUUCCAAAAAAAGCAGACUCUUUUCACCUUGGAACCUCAGCACUUGUGAUCCCUAAAAUCAUGCACCCGUAAUAUUUAUGUAACUGUAUUCACGUGACACGUGAAUGCUUUCAAAGCUGCCUAGUGCGUUUAGAGGCAGAGAACGUAUAUGUGUCGAGGGGCAGUAGGAGGAAGAAGUGAUGAACUGUGUGCCUGGUCUGUCUGCAGCUCAGCAGUCUAAGAAAAGCUGAGGGAUGGACAGUGACAGCUCAGGGGUCACAUAGCCUGGGCCUCAGCUCUCCCAUGUGAACAGGAUUUUCACUACCUCCUAGAUGGCAAAGCCAGGCCAGUGCAGAGGUAGAUGUUGGCUCAGUAUAGAGACAAGCUUUCAAAUGAUUAGAGCUGUGACCUCGAGAGGUGGUGAGCGCCCUGUCCCUGGAGGUAGACAAGCAGAGACUAAAAGACCAUUUGUGAGGGAUACUGUGAGACAGGCAGAGAGUGUCGAGGGGCAGUAGGAAGUCCUCUUGGAGGAUCUCAGAGGCCCAGGAGUCUUGUGUCUCCAUCCUUUUGAAACAUUUUGUCCUCACUGAGGUCACGAUGCUUGCCAGGCCCUCUGCGACCGGAUGCAGAGUCUUGGAAGGUGGGAGCGGGAAGGGGCCUGCAAAAGUGUGGCUUCCCACCUCAGAUGGCAAGAGCAGCACAAACUGCACCAGCGGUUGCCUCUCGUUGCGCUGUCCUUGGGUGCCCGGCGUGGAGGGAGGACUACACGUCACCUCCUCUCAAAGGGCGGCAUCAGAGAGUUGUGCUUAAGAACCUGGUUCUGGAGCCCGGCUGUCUGGGUCCCACUCCUGACUUGGGGAGUGGGGUCUCAGGGUCAGACCCUGCAACAACGGUUCCAGGGCAAGUACUUGAUCUGGGAGGUACUGUCAGGGGAGCGGCCUGUGGGGCCGAGGAGGGAAGGAGCCAGUAAAGGGUGUGUGAGCCCUGGGAGACAGCGUGGAGCAGGUCCCAGAGUCUGCUCAAGGGAGGAGCAGAGCAGGGGGACUCGUCCACACCUUGUGGGCUGAGAACUGCUUCCGGGACACUCACUCCCCAGACCCCCGGCUGUUUUAGCCCACCUGCUCCUGCAGCUGUAAAGAGCCCUGAGGUGCAGUCACAGGUGUCCCCGGCCUUUGGCAUGAAAAGAUGGAUCCUGGAGAGAGGUGUGGCAGGGCAGCGACCGUGACCACUACAGCCACUUAGGAGCUGUGUGGCCUCAGGAGUAGCUCUGCCUCUCGGUGCAUCUGCGUCCUCACUUGUCAGGAGCCUACCUGACUUCAGUGAAGGUAGAGGGUUCUGAGCUGCCUGACGCAUUGUCAAGCAUGUGGGGGUCCCGGAUCCAUGAGGGUGUCCUGUUCUGUCCCCUUUCACAGAGGAGGAAGGCAAGGACAGAGUGGCUGGGCCUUAAGCACACCGCAACACAGCACGAGGGGCAGAGAUGGGCCCAUCUGACGGGGGGCCCACGCCCGCAGGACUCCCUGUCCAGUGCUCUCCUGGGGGUGGAUCAAAGCAGCCACGUUCUCCAGGAGCACUUCCUCUGGCUCCCUAUUGCCCUCUGCCCCUGAGCGGUGUUGCCGGCAGUGACUGCAGCAUUGAUCCAUCCUUGGCAGCGCCCCGCCCCGAGUCCCUCUGAAACCUUUUUAGCACCGCUCUGUGGCAGGUGGCAGCUAGAGGAUCCCCAGGGCACAGGCCCAGCAGCAUUCAGCAGGAGGAGCCAGAAGACGAAGAGACCUCCAGGGCCCCACCCACCCAGCCCACCCCAGCGUGGAGAGAGUCAGGGCUGCUGGAGAGCGCACUCUGCCUGUGCUGUGACUGUCCCACCCAUGCGGGCGCUGGGCUGCUGUUGGUGUCCUCUGUGCCUGGAUGUCGCCUAGAACGCCUGGAAGCAGACUCCCUGAGCCCCUGUCACUCGGCACCGAGGAGGCAGGUCCUGCAGAACAGACACGGCUCCCAAGCUGCUCACACGAGGGCCCCUCGCUCAGCCACCUUUCUCAGCCCUCACUGUGUGUGCCCUGCCCCGUGCCCCCAACACGCAGCAUGGGGUGCACAGGCUGUGCAGCCAGCAGUGCCCGAAAGCCCCCUGGGCCACCAGGCUGGGGAUCGACUGAGCAAAGGGGUGGGUUGGGGAUGACGUGGGAAAAUGCAUGGGAGGUGCUUCCUCAGCACGAUGUCCAGCCGCGCAGGCCCUGGAGAAGCCUUACCUGACAGUCUGACCCUCAUGAAUGCGCAGCAAGGCCAAAGCCAGCACCCUGUGCGGACGCCUGAGGCAGGAGAGCUCAGCUCUGAGGGACCGGGCCCAGAGCCCGGAGGUUUGAUGGGGGCGCUGUGAGCCUUACCCAAGGCCAGGGAGGAGGAGCCCUCCUUCCAGACAGUUCCAUCAGCCGUGGGAGUGAUGGUCAUCAUCGUCACCAUCAUCAUCGUCAAGCCCGUGGACUGCUUACUGGUGCCGCCCCAACUUGGAUAAUUCACUGAGUCCUCCCAGCCCCUCUAUGAUGCCUCCUCUCGUUUUAUAGGCAAGGAAACAGAGGCCCAGAGAGGUUCAUUAACCUACCCAAGGUCACACAGCCAGCGAGUGGUAAAACCCCAGUAAAGCUGGGGUUUGUGAGGGCUCCAAGCUUUGUGUGCCUGUGCACAGGCCGACUGCCCCCUGAGUCCCCACCUCCACUGGGACAGGACCCACAAGCUCUCCAAGUCCUCUCCCAGUGGCACCUUCUGGAACUGCAGGCUAUUGCAGUUGAGUCACCUCCGUCACUCCAAGGACAAGCUUGUCCCGGCCGGGUUAAUGCUCCAGCUCAUCUGCUGACCUCCUUCAGAGGGCCUCGUCACCCACCUUCCCGUGAGCCCAGUCCUCAGGAGGCCCCAAGUUGACACACCACAUGCCCUGAUUGCGUCUGAGAUUGUCUGCUUCCUGGUGCCAGCACAGAGGAAAAUGAACAGAUGAGUCUGACACUCAGCCUGGGAGAGGAUGAUGCCCAGGAGCAGCGGGGGUGGGCAGCCUCAUCUGGAGGGCAGGGGCCCCUGGGGCGGGCAGCCCCUAUGUGGAGGGCAGGGGCCCCUGGGGCGGGCAGCCUCAUCAGGAGGGCAGGGGCCCUGGGGCGGGCAGCCCCCAUCUGGAGGGCAGGGGCUUGGGCUUUGUGUACAGUAGGCAUUCAGCAAAUGCCUGUCGAUUUAUUGAAUAAGCAAAGAAGGAAUGUAAGCUUUGGCAGGAACAUGGGCCUUUGGUGACACUUAGGCCUGGGUUAGAAUCCCAACUCUGACACUUGAACAGUUCUCUUACUUUCCUUCCCUGAGCCUCCAUUUCCCCACCUGGCCUCUCAGGGGCGUUGUGGCUGUAAAUGAGAUACCACGUGCUUGCUCCCUGCAGCCCUCGCCCCUGCACCCCUCCUCAUGGGGCGCCCGGGGGCUCCUGGAGCAGAGCCGGGAGUGCCUACAAAUGCCCCUUCCUCCACCCCCACUCCAGGCCCUCAACUAAGGACCGACAAGUGCAGAAGUCUGAGAGGCCAGCUCCCGUCUCAGCUCCCUCUGACGUGGAGCUGAUGCCCUGAGCUUCCUGCAGCGUCAGGCUGAGGCCGGGCUUCUCCUGUACAAACCCCUGGCACACAAAUGCUUGUCUCAGGGCUGCUUCCAGAAUCAGCUGGGCUCGUGUGUGGCUCUCCCCUGGAGCUUGAGCCCUGCCAACAUCGCCAUGGGAGAGGGCCUUCCUCGUCUCCCAGAGCCCUGCCCUUAAUAGGCUCUGAUGAGGACCUGCUGUUCUUAAGGAGGAGCCUGUACCCCCUUCCCAAGGGCACACCGCAGGGCUCUCAUGAAGGAGGAAUGUCAGCAGAGUCCCUGUUGAAAGCAUCUCGUUUCAGAAAUCCAGCUUACUUGCUUUUAGCAAUUGCUAGCAUUAGAGAGUUCCUUGUCCCUCACAAAAUAAGGGAGAAGAAAACUAGGGCUGGAUGCUGAACGAGAGCCUGCUCAUUGCCUGCCCAACAUCCAGUCUCCUCUUCUUGCAAGAUGACCAGGUGAGCAGCUGAGACUACAGUUCCCACUUCCCUGGUAAAUAAGGAUGGCUAAGGAUAUAGAAGUAGGUGUUCUUGGGCUGGACUUCCAGAAAAGCUCCAAAAAAGCUAGUGUGUGCCCUCUUUAUCUUCUUUCUUUUUCUUCCUGCCUGGAAUAUAUACGUGAUGGCUGACACUGUAGAGGCCAUUUUGUGACCUUGAGGAUGGAGCCAAACUCUAAAUCUGGCAGAAGGGAAGGACAGAGGAUUGUGGGUUCCUAAUGAUGCUCUAGAACCACCAUCCUGGUCCUGGGAGCCCCUGCCUUCUGUGACCUGUGAAAACAAACCUUCUGUCUCAGCCACGAUUUUCCAGCGCUCUGCUGCUUGCAGCUGGAUAUAAUUCCUAACUAACACAGAUGUCACCACAGGUCCACAGUUCUGGUCCUAAGUGAGACAACGGGAUUCUCUCCUCCCAGCCCCUCUCUCAACAGGGCCACUUGGUCCUGCUCACAGAGACUCAGCUACAGGAGCAGGUGACCGCUUGACAUCACUAGGAAGCCACACGAGCUCUGGGACCCAGGCCCACUUCAGACAAUGGGAGAAUUCCACCUUUUGGCAUAGGGCCAGAGUGGGGACAGGUGACACCGGGGUAGUUUGUGGUACUGCACAGAAUAGGGAGAAAUGACGGUGAAACACUUGGUCUCAUUUCUCCCUCUGUGGAUCCUACAGUCUCGUUAUAGUAACAAAGAACCAAAGUGCCAAAGCAGCACUAUUCCUAACAGUGGGAGAAAACGGGAAACAACCACACGCCCACGUGCCGUGAAAUGGGCAAGUGCGUUGUGCCGCAUCCCCCGAUGAAGUCCUCUCCAGCGAUGGAAGUGAACCGUCUUCCAGUACACAGCAACACAGAUGGCUCUCCAGGCGUAACGUCCAGCAGAAGUCAGACGUGAAAGAGCAUCCACUGUGCGACUUCAUUUUGAAGCAAAGUUCAAAACCAGGCAAAACUCACCUGUGGGUGGACAGUCGGACAACCAUCACCCUCGGGAAAGGCAGGGAUGGGGUGAAGGGGGCUCUGGGGCGUGGUCACGUUCUGUUUCUUAUGUGGGCUGUAGUCACACAAGUUAUUCGCUUUUCAAGAUUCGUUGAGCUGUAUAAUUAGGAUUUGCACACAUUUCUGUGUGAGUCUUGAACUUAAGACUCAGUGCUGCCAGCACCUGGAGGGGGCGGUACUCCUCACUUUGGCAGAUCAUGGAGCUCAGCACAGGACGAGGCCUCGAGAAGUGUAUUGUGAUGAGCGUGGGAAGUUCAACGGAAGUGCUGGGUGCUCCCUCGCAUCUGGGUUGGCUUUGAGAAGAGGAUUUAACUGAAAAGAAUGACCUUUGCUGUGGGUACUUGAGCUGCUGUGGCAGUAAUUCAGAGGCUCUAAGAGAUGGCUGGCCAGAAGUCCUGCCCCACGGCGAGGGAUGAACAGGCUGUCCUCCUGGCUUCUCUGAGACGGCCCCGGGUCUGGGGAAGGCCUGUGCUCCAGCGUGUUUGGGACUGGUCCCCAUGGACAGAAACACUGACGGUC
rnacentral:lncRNA from 1 species